UGAUUACAGGGUAGCAAUAUUCUGUAGUUGGAGCGGCGCAAGGGUGCGUAACACGUGGGUAAUCUGCCAUGAAGUUUGGGAUAACUCGCUGAAAGGCGAGCUAAUACCGGAUGUGACGAUUGGAAGGCAUCUUCUGAUCUUCAAAGUUGGGGACCGUAAGGCCUGACGCUUCAUGAUGAGCCCGCGGCCUAUCAGCUAGUUGGUGAGGUAACGGCUCACCAAGGCUAAGACAGGUAGCUGGUCUGAGAGGACGACCAGCCACACUGGAACUGAGACACGGUCCAGACACCUACGGGUGGCAGCAGUCGAGAAUUUUUCACAAUGGGGGAAACCCUGAUGGAGCGACGCCGCGUGGGGGAUGAAUGGCUUCGGCCCGUAAACCCCUGUCAUUCGCGAACAAUGCCUGUGUAUUAACACCAUACAGGUUGAUAGUAGCGGAAGAGGAAGGGACGGCUAACUCUGUGCCAGCAGCCGCGGUAAUACAGAGGUCCCAAGCGUUGUUCGGAUUCACUGGGCGUAAAGGGUGCGUAGGCGGUCGGGUAAGUCUGAUGUGAAAUCUCACAGCUUAACUGUGAAACUGCAUUGGAUACUAUUCGGCUUGAGGUCUGGAGGGGGGACUGGAAUUCUCGGUGUAGCA
rnacentral:rRNA from 1 species